GAAUCAACUUGUUGGUCGUGCCUCGGUACGUACUGGUAUUAUUGGUUUCUACCUUCUGAAGAACCUUGAUGUCAUUAAUUUGGUGUCUUGGGGAAUCAGGACAGUUACUUUGAAGAAAUUAGAGUGUUUAAAGCAAGCAUACGCUUGAAUACAUUAGCAUGGAAUAAUGAAAUAGGACGUUUGAUUCUAUUUUGUUGGUUUCUAGGAUCGACGUA
rnacentral:rRNA from 1 species